CUCUAUCCCAGUAGAAAACAGCAUAUAAUCAAUAUUGGCUGAUUUUGAAAACUAAGCAGGAUUGGACUUGGGUAGUACUUGGAUGGAAGACCACUAGGGAGACUACCUAGAAUGAUAGACU
rnacentral:rRNA from 1 species